GAGAAUAGGAUGUGGACAUCUUUGCAGCUGUUAUUCUAGCUACCAGGUUGGGUAAAAAUCAAGAAGUCAGCAGGGUUGUGUUCCUUUCUGAAGACUCUACAGGACACUGUCUUCUCACCUUUUCCAGCUUUCCAGCUUCUGCAGGCCGCUUGCAUUCCUUGGCUCAUGCUCCCUUCCUUCAACUUCAAAGCCAACAGUGCUGCAACUAGAUUCCAGUUUGCUGGCUCAUGUAAGCUUCCCUGCACGGACAUCUACAGUGCAAAAACAAAAAGCCUGAGCAACGAGUCCUUCCAGUGAUGUUUAGAAUGACACGGAAAUUGCCACGAGAUGGAGAAUAAUCAGUCCUCAGAAGAAAAUAGAAGAACAGCUCUUACAGCUGAGUGGAAUGAUGGCGUAUAUAACGUUUGCUUCACUUCUCAUUUUCUCUUCGAGUGACGCCAUCUAACAGUGCGAUUCAGUAUUACCAAGGAGGCGGCGUUUCACAGAACGACUACUAGCAUGGCGGAUAGAAGGCUCCACAAGCCAGAUUUGCUGCUAAUGACACUAACAAUUCUGCAACAUGAAGAAGAAGAAGAAGAAGGUCAUCAGGUAUUAUUUCCAAAAGGGAUACGUACUUUUGAAGAAAUAAUAUUGCCUUUUCUCUGACGUUCAUGCUCCAGUUUGUCCCCAACAGACAGAUGUGAGGAAGAACCUGUAUCCAUACUCAAAACAAUACACUUGCUUUAAUGUCAGUCCCAGGUGAAGUGAAACCAGCCAGGAAGAACAUGGCAACCUCUCUGGUCUUUAAUAAUCAGUAGUUCUCAAAAGACCAGGCCUAUAUUAUUGUUAUUCCAGCAAGUUGACCAUUUACAAAUAGAUCAUCUCCAAAUUUUUCAUUUUGUAUCUUUGGACUAGAGAGUGUCCUCUAUAGGGGCCCAUAUAUGCAGUAUGGAAAGGAUAAGAGGGUCCCAGACCGGCCAUAGACAUCUAAUUCAUUGGUUAUGGUGAUGAUGUUGGGAGAUCAAAGAAGUAUGAAGGAUUCAAAGAGUAGUACUCUGCCUUGGGAAGAUAAUCUGUGGCACAAAAUCCAAAAAUAAUCCCCUUAUAAUUUCUGCUAUUUUCAGGAAGGGAGGGAGGGAAGGAGGAAGGAAGGAAUAAUUAAAUCAGCCAUGGCCCAGCCAAGAAGCAGAAACCAUUUUGAGUAUUUUGGUUUCUGAGCAGCUGCUAGAAGGUGACAAGGCAACCCAGAAAUUAGCAGUGGCAAGAACUUGCUACCACCGCUAGGGUAGAGGGGCAAAAGGAGUAGAUGGUGCUACCAGAAUCCAGAAGCCAGCUCACCCUCUGGAAGCAGGAAUCACAGUGUGCUAGACUAGGAGAGGAAGGGGGGUGCUGCGUCCACGAAGGAGAGGCCAUGGAAGCCAUCAGGGAUCAUGUAUGGAUUCAAGGAAGGACAAGGAGAAAUAUCAUGGCUUCUCCCUUCCUCCCACCAUCCAGUUCCCAUUGGUGCCUUCCAUUGACCAAACUCGGCCAGAAACCAGCUGACACAGGAUCCUAGGAAACUCAGCCUGCAGGGGUCAGUCUCCUGCAAUAUAGAGCUGAGCAGGGAAGGGUAAGAAAUGGAUCUGAGGGCUCACAGACCAGGCCAGGCACACUAGCCAACUAACGGAAAAGAAGGGGGUGGGGGUGGACUCUAACCUCAGUUCCAGCAAAUUCAACAGGAAGAGGUUACUUAUUAGCUCUGAGAACAAGGACCAUGUGUGAUCUACAUGAAAAGUCAAGUCACAAUACAACUCAAAUAACACUGCCAGGCAUCAGUAUGAAAGAUGCUGCACGAGAAACCAUGACACCUCUCAUGAGAUGGGGGAGACCAUGUUUGAACUGACUGGGUUCUGGUUGAGAAAGAAGGGAGGUCAGGAUGAAACCGAGGCUUCCAGGACAGAACAGGCACCAUCUGCAGAGACAGAUGUUGUACUGGGUUGUUGUACAGACAACAGGUGUUGUACUGGGUCAAAAGAUAAAUGAAACCCGAGGAAAGGCAGUGGACUCCUCAGUGGGGAGGGGCAGGUGUGACCCGGGCUCUUACCGGAAGGGCGGGUGUGUAGACGAGAAGGCGCGCUGCGGAGCUUCAGUGACCAGGUGCAGUCCGGUUGUAAAGUUUGACAAUGAAUGGAAAGACGAGCUUGCUGGGUGGCAGCUUUCCGCAAAGGAUCUCAUUGGAAAACAGAAAGAAGAGCGAGUAGAGUCUAACACCGAGGGCAGAGAAUCCACGCAAUCAG